ACCCUGUUGGUAGGUGAUUGUAGAUUCCUACACGAGUCAUGGACAAUGGGAGAGAGAACUUUAACAGAAGAAGUAUCUGCACUUCUACCAUUAUUUUGUGUUGGAUUCAGUGCUGCUGAUGGUGUGCUUGAUGCUUAUUCUUUGUGUUGAUUGCUGCUGUUCUUCAUAUUCAUUAUCAAUAACACUUCAAAUCACAAUGAUCAGUUAAAGGAGCGGCAAUGUGGAUUCAGUUGUUUCAUGUGCUAUUAAAUGAAACGUUUUAAGCCUGAGAAUGGGGCUUUAUUAUCGAAGGAUGAGACUAUUUCUGUGAACUUGUGCAUGUUGCUCCUGACAGAGGAGAUCAUGUUGUACGUUUUCCUAAAAGGAGAUGGUAAACCUUAAGGUGUAAUGCAGGUUUGCAACAAUUUAAGGAUGCAAAAUGACGGGGAUUCACUGGCAGGUUUCACCGAUAAGCUGCCAAGGUGUGGAAAGACUAGUACACCUGCCAUCCUCCACUAAAGAAGUUGUAUUUUGAAAGACUAGCUCCUAAAUUAGUUGGCUCUUUGUCCUCGCCAGCCAUAUGCUCUAUUUUGUUCAUUUGCAUUCAAAUCUAGGUUUUAAUGAUUCAAUUAUGUGUUGAUAUGUGAAUACAUAUUUUCUAUUUAUUAUUAUAAUAUUAUAUUUGUAAAUU